UUAAAUGGGGGAUUCUCGAAGAGAAAACACGUGAUUUUCACUUAAAUGUGGGAUUUGGGAAGAGAAAACACGUGAUUUUUGGGUUAAAUGGACGAUUCUCGAAGAGAAAAGGCGUGAUUUUCAGGUUAAAUGGGGGAUUCCCGAAUGGGAAACGUGUGAUUUUCGGGUAAAAUCGGGGAUUUCUGAAGAGAAAAUGCGUGAUUUCCGGGUAAAAUGAAAGAUUUGCGUAGUGAAAACACGUGAUUUUCGGGUUAAAUGGCGGAUUUGUGAAGAGAAAAUGCGUGAUUUUCGGGCAGAAUGGAAGAUUUGCGACGUGAAAACACGUGAUUUUCGGUUAAAUGGGGGAUUUGCGAAGAGAAAACACGUGAUUUUCGGGUUAAAUGGCGGAUUUGCGAAGAGAAAACGCAUGAUUUUCGGGUUAAAUGGGGGAUUCUCAAAGAGAAAAUGCGUGAUUUUCGGGUUAAAUGGGGGAUUCUCAAAGAUAAAACACGUGAUUUUCGGUUAAAUGGGGGAUUUGCGAAGAGAAAACGCGUGAUUUUCGGCUUAAAUGGGGGAUUUGCGAAGAGAAAACGCGUGAUUUUCGGCUUAAAUGGGGGAUUUGCGAAGAGAAAACGCGUGAUUUUCGCUUAAAUGGGGGAUUUGCGAAGAGAAAACGCGUGAUUUUCGCUUAAAUGGGGGAUUUGCGAAGAGAAAACGCGUGAUUUUCGGUUAAAUGGGGGAUUUGCGAAGAGAAAACGCGUGAUUUUCGGGUUAAAUGGGGGAUUUGCGAAGAGAAAACGCGUGAUUUUCGGUUAAAUGGGGGAUUUGCGAAGAGAAAACGCGUGAUUUUCGGUUAAAUGGGGGAUUUGCGAAGAGAAAACGCGUGAUUUUCGGGUUAAAUGGGGGAUUCUGCGAAGAGAAAACGCGUGAUUUUCGGUUAAAUGGGGGAUUUGCGAAGAGAAAACGCGUGAUUUUCGGUUAAAUGGGGGAUUUGCGAAGAGAAAACGCGUGAUUUUCGCUUAAAUGGGGGAUUUGCGAAGAGAAAACGCGUGAUUUUUGGGUUAAAUGGGGGAUUUGCGAAGAGAAAACGCGUGAUUUUCGGUUAAAUUGGGAUUUGCGAAGAUUAAAUGCAUGAUUUUCGGGAUAAAUGGAGGAUUCUCGAAGAGAAAACGCGUGAUUUUCGCUUAAAUGGGGGAUUUGCGAAGAGAAAACACGUGAUUUUUGGUUAAAUGGGGGAUUCUCGAAGAGAAAAUGCGUGAUUUUUGCUCAAAUGGGUGAUUUCCGAAUUGGAUAUGUGUCUUUUUCGAGUUAAAAGGGGGAUUCUGGAAGAGAAAACGCAUCAUUUUCGGGUUAAAUGGGGGAUUCUCGAAGAGAAAACACGUGAUUUUUGCUUAGAUGGAGGAUUUGCGAAGAGAAAACGCGUGAUUUUUGGGUUAAAUGGGGGAUUCUCAAAGAGAAAACGCGUGAUUUUCGGUUAAACGAGGGAUUUUCAAAGAGAAAACGCGUGAUUUUCGCUUAAAUGGGGGAUUUGCGAAGAGAAAACGCGUGAUUUUCGGUUAAAUGGGGGAUUCUCGAAGAGAAAACGCGUCAUUUUCGAGAUAAAAGGGGGAUUUCCGAAAAGAAAAUGCGUGAUUUCCGGUUAAAUGGGGGAUUUGCGAAGAGAAAACGCGUGAUUUUUGGGUUAAAUGGGGGAUUCUCGAAGAGAAAACGCGUGUUUUUCGGGUGAAGUGGUGGAUUUGCGAAGAGAAAACGCGUGAUUUUCCGGUUAAAAGGGGAUUUGCGAAGAGAAAACGCGUGAUUUUCGGGUUAAAUGUGGGAUUUGUGAAGAGAAAACGCGUGAUUUUCGCUUAAAUGGGGGAUUUGCAAAGAGAAAACGCGUCAUUUUCGAGUUAAAUGGGGGAUUUGCGCAGAGGAUAUGAGUGAUUUUCGGGUUAAAUGGAAGAUUCUCCAAGAGAAAACGCGUGAUUUUCGGGUUAAAUGGGGGAUUUCCGAAGAGAAAACGCGUGAAUUUUGAGUUAAAUGGGGGAUUUGCGAAGAGAAAACGCGUGAUUUUCGGUUAAAUGGGGGAUUCUCGAAGAGAAAACGCGUGAUUUUCGGGUUAAAUGGAGGAUUCUGGAGAGAAAACGCGUGACUUAUGCCUAAAUGGGGGAUUUGUGAAGUCAUUGCCUUAUUUUUGCUUUAAUUGGGUGGUUCUCAAAGUGAAAAUGCAUGAUGUUAUGUUUUAUUUGAAAUUUUCAUAGAGCCAUUUGAUGACAUUCGGGUUAAAUGGAGAAUUUUUGAAGAUGAAAUGCAUGAUUUUUGCUUUAAUGUGGAAUUUUCAUUGAGAAAGUGAUGAUUUUCUUUUUUAGUUUCGGAUUUUGUAAUCAGAAUGCUUGUCAUUUGGGUAGAUGGGGUAUUUUCUAAGAGAAAAUGCAUGCUAGUUGAGUAAACGGGGGAUUUUCAGAGAGAAAAUGGAUGUUUUUCUGGUAUAUGUGGAUUUUUUUGAAAGAAAAUGCAUGAUUUUGUAGUGAUGCAAUCAGUCAACCUGAAAUAUCUAUAUUAUCCAUGUGUAUGUAAGUAAUCAAAAUGCCUACCUUUUUUUGCCAGCUCCUCCAGGAAUGUUGCUCCUUUUUCCUUUUUUGAGGAUCCGAAGUGCUCAGGGAAGCAGCACACUCAUCCACGAUGUAGACUCUUGAACUCUUAUUGCCUUAUAAGAUGCUCUGAUAGUGAAUCCUGAAAACAAACAUCCCAAAGUUACAAUAAAGACCCUUUCCUGGGGGUAGUCAGCCCUUAAAUGCUAUCUUGGAGAGCUGCAGCCAGGCUCCACCUUCUAUUCACACUGGAUUGACUCCACCUGUGCUCCCACAGCUGACUAAGUUCUGCCUCAGCCAAUCAAUCAGUGGUUCAGGCCAUGACUCAGCAGCUCCCAUUCACCUGGGGAGGUGCAGCCCUGCGAGCACAGCUGAUGGCAAUUUGGCUGUGGGGUGGGGCUGAGACGGGCUCCUCCCCUCCCUGACCGCAUUUAAGGGCUGGGAAGCAAAGGGGGCAGCAUCUGAGUCUGGCUGUGCUUCCUUGAGGGUGUGGGGGUGAGUUCUUCUGUAUUGGAGGGCUGUGAUCUAUCCCUUUGCUGGGGGUUCAUAGCUGCAUUUUGGGGCUGGCGGCCAUCUGUACCUGGAAACUGCUUCUUUGGGGGAGCGAGUGAGUAUUGGUCCUUGGAAUGGGGUAAGUGGUUCUUUCUGAAUUUCAGGGCUCUGAGCUCCUCUUUUGGGGAGAUCUUGACCCCAUGUAAGAACUGGUAGCUUUCAGGCCUGUAUCUGAACUUGGAGACUGCUUCCUUUGGGGUGUGGGGGGAAGCCCUUAAAUGGGGUGAGGGAUUCCUGCUUUAUUGUAGAGCUGUGAGCCAUGUCUUUCCGGGGAGAUCCUGAGCUGGAUUAGAGCAGCUGUAUCUGCUGUGUGUGUCCCUACGGUGCCUUCAGUCUUGUCCUAAGGGAGAUGAAGGGGUUCUCUCCUGUUCUCUGAGCAGUUGAUGGAUGGACUGACACCCAUUCCUUCCUUUCACAGUUCCCUUGCUUCUGGAUUGCUUCAAUGAGCCCUAAUGAUGCUGAUUGGCUGACUGAGCGCUGCAGUUCUGGACACGGUGACAGUUAAUACCCUAUUCCGUUCAGGGGUUCUGCAUUCUGCAGGUCCUGUUUGCAGCCCUUUUUAAGCCCAUUUCUUUCUGAUUGAGCCGCUGUUUCCUCUUUCAUGGUUUUCACCUCAUGAUCUCCAACCUCGGCUCCAAAUGUGGUUUGUCUUCUCCCCCAUCAUCCCAUCUCAUGGCUGUAAUUCACAGUGCCAUGUGUUAAUUGCACCCACGCAGAGUUGUUUAAGGGCAUGCUGGGCAUCAUUAUCAUGUUUUAAAUUAUGUCCUCUCUUCUGAUCUCAGUUUGCAGCUCAGUGGGUUUUAAGGAUUGUUGGGACUCCUCUAAUUGGUGGUGUGAGGCCUGUGGAGCAGCUAAUGGAACAUCACGACUAUGCUGACUUCCCCAGGGUCUUACGGUCAUUUCUGUUUCACCAGCAGAUCUGGGUUUGUGUUAAUAAAAAAGAAAGGAUGACUGUAGUCAUCCUCUUCUGGAUGACUACAGUCAGGAUCUCCAGAUAUCUCAUCCCAAUUGUCAGGAGAUGCUAUUUGUUUCCUAAUCUGUAUGAUACCCAAACCCCCACACCUUUUCCUCCCAUCCCCUGACCCCCAUUAAGUAACUUAUAAACAGCAUUAAUUAUAUCCCUAAUACUCCCUUGUGUCACCCGUAGAGCAAUGCACGCAGGGUGCAGCCCUACAUAUGCGGGGCAGCGCCUUCAUUCCUGCAUUGUGUCCAACAGGCGGCAGCAGAGAGCUGCAGCGCUCCCGAGUGCUGUAACGACUGCACGGAGAGAUGUGCGGAUCUUCACGGGAACAGCAAGGAACCGAAAGCUGCAUUUCCUGGGAUGCCCUGGAACUCCACUUUGCUGACUGGUAAUUGUCUGCCCAGCAGGUAAGGACAAUGCACACCCACCAGUGUUUACCCCUUACUGAGUGAGACACAAGGUAGGGUUCCUAGAGCUCCUUUCUGCACUUCAGGGUUCCCCGAAGGCUGCCCGUCCUAUUCUUUGCAUGUUCUCCUUGGCUCUGGCCUUUCACAGCGGUGUUCUCCUUCCCUUUGCCCUUGGCGUUCCCUACUGCAUUCUCUUGUCCUCUUGUUUUUGCAUUCCAUGUCAUGUUCUCUUGGCCAUUGCCCUUGACUUUCUUGGCCACAUUCACUUCAACAUUCAGUUUUGGCGUUCCCUGCAGUGCUCUCUUGCCCUUCUGUUUUGGCAUUUCUUGUCGUGUUUUCUUGGCCAUUUCCUUGGCAUUUCCUUCCACAUUCUCUUGGCUCUUACCUGGGCAUUCCCUUGCCCUCCUGUUUUUUGCGUUCCAUGCCACAUUCUCUUGGCUACUGAACUUCUUUUUCUUCUGCCACGUUCUCUUCAGCAUCCAGUUUUGGCGUUCCCUGCAGUGUUCUCUUGCCCUCCUGUUUGGGCAUUUCCUGCGGUGUUCUCUUUGGCAUCAUGUUCUGGUGUUCCUAGCCACCUUCUCUCAGCCUUCUGCCUUGGCCUUCUUUGCCGUGUUCUCUUGGGCCUCCUGUUUUGGCACUUCCUGCCACGUUCUCUUAGCCCUUGCCCUGACCUGAGCAUUCCAUGCCAUGUUCCCUCGGCCUUCUGUUUUGGCAUUUUUUGCUGCGUUCUCUUGGCCUUUGCCCUUGGUUUUUCCUGCUGCUGUCUCCUUGCCCUCACCUUGGCUUUCCGUUGGGUGCUCUCCUUGCUUUUGCCCUGCCCUUCGCCUUGGCUGUUUGCUUUGCCUUUACCUUGGCUUUUGGUGGGAGUUCAGCUUGCCUUUUUUCUUUGGCUCUCUGGGAUUGGCUGGGAGGCAGCGUGAAUGUUAAUCUUGACCUGAACCUGUAGCUUAAUGUGAGCUCUAAUGAUAAUUAUGUUAACCCACAGUGUAUAUGUAAACCUAACUAUUAACCCAAUAUUAAAAAUGUCUCUUAACCUAAAUGCUGCAAUAAAAAUAAUGCUGCUUGUUUUCUGUCACAGUACCCUUAAUCCUAAUCGUAGUGUGGAAAACAAUUGUUAAGCUAAUUGUCACUUCAAACCUAUGCGUAGCAUUCAUUAUAUUCCUAAUACUCCCUUGUGUCACCUGUAGAGCAAUGCACGCAGGGUGCAGCCCUACAUAUGCGGGGCAGCGCCUUCAUUCCUGCAUUGUGUCCAACAGGUGGCAGCAGAGAGCUGCAGCGCUCCCGAGUGCUGUAAUGACUGCACGGAGAGAUGUGCGGAUCUUCACGGGAACAGCAAGGAACCGAAAGCUGCAUUUCCUGGGAUGCCCUGGAACUCCACUUUGCUGACUGGUAAUUGUCUGCCCAGCAGUGCUGAUCUGAUGCAACGCCCUCAGCAAACUUACCAAAGGUGCACUCCAUGCCAUCAGGCAGGUCUUCAAUGAAGGUAUUGGACAGAACAGGCCUGAAGAGCACUCAGGAUGGCAUACCAGCUGCAUUUAACAUGAUCGAGCAGCACUCAUUAGGCCAGGCGGUUCAGCUAGUUCUUCAUCUAGGAAGCAACAUACCCGUCCAAGUAGCUGGCUGCAAUCUUUGAGAGAAUUUCAAGGGAUAGCACAUCAAAG
ensembl:lncRNA